UACGUAGGGGGGCUAGCGUUGUCCGGAAUCAUUGGGCGUAAAGCGCGCGUAGGCGGUCCGGUAAGUCCGCUGUGAAAGUCGAGGGCUCAACCCUCGAAUGCCGGUGGAUACUGUCGGGCUUGAGUACGGGAGAGGCGAGUGGAAUUCCUGGUGUAGCGGUGAAAUGCGCAGAUAUCAGGAGGAACACCGAUUGCGAAGGCAGCUCGCUGGAACGUUACUGACGCUGAGACGCGAAAGCGUGGGGAGCAAACAGG
rnacentral:rRNA from 1 species